rnacentral:piRNA from 1 species
UAUCAAGUAACAUCAGACUUCACUGA